rnacentral:rRNA from 1 species
GACGAACGCUGGCGGCGUGGAUUAGGCAUGCAAGUCGAACGGUAUCAUCCUUUCGGGGGUGAGAGAGUGGCGAACUGGUGAGUAACACGUAGGUUAUCUACCCUCAAGACGGGGACAACCCAGGGAAACUUGGGCUAAUACCGGAUGUGAGCAACUUUUAGUUGUUUGAAAGGUGGCGUAAGCUGUCGCUUGGGGAUGAGCCUGCGUCCUAUUAGUUAGUUGGUGAGGUAACGGCUCACCUAGGCAAUGAUAGGUAGGCGGCCUUAACGGGUGGUCGCCCACACUGGGAUUGAGAUACGGCCCAGACUCCUACGGGAGGCAGCAGUCGAGAAUAGUCUACAAUGGUCGGAAGACUGAUAGUGCGACGCCGCGUGAACGAUGAAUCCCUUCGGGGUGUAAAGUUCUUUUAUAUGUGAGCAGUGCUUCUUAUAUUAACAGUAUGGGGAGAGAGAUAUUAGCAUAUGAAUAAGCAACGGCUAACUCCGUGCCAGCAGCGCGGU